GAUGAACGCUGGCGGCGUGCCUAAUACAUGCAAGUCGAGCGAACAGAUAAGGAGCUUGCUCCUUUGACGUUAGCGGCGGACGGGUGAGUAACACGUGGAUACCCUACCUAUAAGACUGGUAUAACUUCGGGACACCGGAUCUAAUACCGGAUAACAUAUUGAACCGCAUGGUUCAAUAGUGAAAUGCGGCUUUUCUGUCACUUCUAGAUGGAUCCUCGCCGUAUUGGAUAGUUGUUAAGGUACCGGCUUACCAAGGCAACGAUACGUAGCCGACGUGCGAGAGGGGUAGGCCACACUGGAACGGGGACAGGGUCAAGGCUCCUAAGGGAGGCAGCAGUAGGGAAUCUGACGCAAUGGGGGAGAGCCUGACAGAGCAACGCGGCGUGAGAGACAAAGAUCUUCGGAUCGUAAAGCUCUGUUAUCAGGGGAGAACAACUGUGUAAGUAGCUGAACACAGCGUGACGGUACCGGGUAAAAAAGCCACGGCUAACUACGUG
rnacentral:rRNA from 1 species